rnacentral:rRNA from 1 species
AUACGGAGGGAGCAAGCGUUAUUCGGAAUCACUGGGCGUAAAGGACGCGUAGGCGGGUUUGUAAGUCAGGUGUGAAAUCCUACAGCUCAACUGUAGAACUGCACUUGAAACUACAGACCUAGAGUAUGGAAGGGGCAGAUGGAAUUAGUGGUGUAGGGGUAAAAUCCGUAGAUAUCACUAGGAAUACCGAAAGCGAAGGCGAUCUGCUGGGACAUUACUGACGCUGAGGCGUGAAAGCGUGGGGAGCAAACAGGAUUAGAUACCCGGGUAGUCC